rnacentral:rRNA from 1 species
AUUCCGGAAAAAAGCUGUCUAACAUCAAGCUAUAUAUAAAUUAUUUAGUGCGUGAAAAGCCGCACAUAUAGAAAAAAGACGAGAAGACCCUAGAAAUUUUUUAAAAGUUCUGUAAAUUCUAUUUUGUUGGGGCGACAUAGUAACACUUAACCUACUAUAUUAACAUGCUACUUAUAAGACGUAAGAUAAAAUUACUCUAGGGAUAACAGCAUAAUUUAUUAUUAAGUUUGUGACCUCGAUGUUGGACUAGGAAAUAUUUUAU